rnacentral:rRNA from 1 species
UGCUUAAUUGCACCACAUGUGUUUUUUAUUGAACAAAUUUCUUUGGUGGCGGGAGCAAUCCUACCGCCAGAGGUUAUAACUAAACCAAACUUUUUAUUUACAGUCAAACUUGAUUUAUUAUUACAAUAGUCAAAACUUUCAACAACGGAUCUCUUGGUUCUCGCAUCGAUGAAGAACGCAGCGAAAUGCGAUACGUAAUAUGAAUUGCAGAUAUUCGUGAAUCAUCGAAUCUUUGAACGCACAUUGCGCCCUUUGGUAUUCCAAAGGGCAUGCCUGUUUGAGCGUCAUUUCUCCCUCAAACCCCCGGGUUUGGUGUUGAGCAAUACGCUAGGUUUGUUUGAAAGAAUUUAACGUGGAAACUUAUUUUAAGCGACUUAGGUUUAUCCAAAAACGCUUAUUUUGCUAGUGGCCACCACAAUUUAUUUCAUAACUUUGACCUCAAAUCAGGUAGGACUACCCGCUGAACUUAAGCAUAUCAAUAAGCGGA